rnacentral:rRNA from 1 species
AUGAACGCUGGCGGCGUGCCUAAUACAUGCACGUCGAGCGAACAGACGAGGAGCUUGCUCCUCUGACGUUAGCGGCGGACGGGUGAGUAACACGUGGAUAACCUACCUAUAAGACUGGGAUAACUUCGGGAAACCGGAGCUAAUACCGGAUAAUAUAUUGAACCGCAUGGUUCAAUAGUGAAAGACGGUUUUGCUGUCACUUAUAGAUGGAUCCGCGCCGCAUUAGCUAGUUGGUAAGGUAACGGCUUACCAAGGCAACGAUGCGUAGCCGACCUGAGAGGGUGAUCGGCCACACUGGAACUGAGACACGGUCCAGACUCCUACGGGAGGCAGCAGUAGGGAAUCUUCCGCAAUGGGCGAAAGCUUGACGGAGCAACGCCGCGUGAGUGAUGAAGGUCUUCGGAUCGUAAUACUCUGUUAUUAGGGAAGAACAAAUGUGUAAGUAACUAUGCACGUCUUGACGGUACCUAAUCAGAAAGCCACGGCUAACUACGUG